rnacentral:rRNA from 1 species
AACCUGGUUGAUCCUGCCAGUAGUAAUAUGCUUGUCUUAAAGAUUAAGCCAUGCAUGUCUAAGUAUAAGCAUUUAUACCGCGAGACUGCGAACGGCUCAUUAAAACAGUUAUGGUUUAUUUGAUGGUUCCUUUGCUACUUGGAUAACCGUAGUAAUUCUAGAGCUAAUACAUGCACGAAGGGGCGACUUACGAAGCCCUGUAUUUAUUAGAUUAAAGCCAACCACCUCCGGGUGUCCGUGGUGAAUCAUAGUAACUUAUCGGAUCGCCGGCUCUAUGCCAGCGACGUGUCAUUCAAAUUUCUGCCCUAUCAGCUUUAGAUGGUAGGAUAUGGGCCUACCAUGGCGGUGACGGGUAACGGAGAAUUAGGGUUCGAUUCCGGAGAGGGAGCCUGAGAAACGGCUACCACUUCUAAGGAAGGCAGCAGGCGCGCAAAUUACCCAAUCCUGACUCAGGGAGGUAGUGACAAGAAAUAACAAUAAACCGGCUUAUGCCGGUUUAAUUGGAAUGAGUACAAUUUAAACAUCUUAACGAGGAACAAUUGGAGGGCAAGUCUGGUGCCAGCAGCCGCGGUAAUUCCAGCUCCAAUAGC